UAGCAAUAUUCCGUAGUUGGAGCGGCGCAAGGGUGCGUAACACGUGGGUAAUCUGCCAUGAAGUUUGGGAUAACUCGCUGAAAGGCGAGCUAAUACCGGAUGUGACGAUUGGAAGGCAUCUUCUGAUCUUCAAAGUUGGGGACCGUAAGGCCUGACGCUUCAUGAUGAGCCCGCGGCCUAUCAGCUAGUUGGUGAGGUAACGGCUCACCAAGGCUAAGACGGGUAGCUGGUCUGAGAGGACGACCAGCCACACUGGAACUGAGACACGGUCCAGACACCUACGGGUGGCAGCAGUCGAGAAUUUUUCACAAUGGGGGAAACCCUGAUGGAGCGACGCCGCGUGGGGGAUGAAUGGCUUCGGCCCGUAAACCCCUGUCAUUCGCGAACAAUGCCUGUGUAUUAACACCAUACAGGUUGAUAGUAGCGGAAGAGGAAGGGACGGCUAACUCUGUGCCAGCAGCCGCGGUAAUACAGAGGUCCCAAGCGUUGUUCGGAUUCACUGGGCGUAAAGGGUGCGUAGGCGGUCGGGUAAGUCUGAUGUGAAAUCUCACAGCUUAACUGUGAAACUGCAUUGGAUACUAUUCGGCUUGAGGUCUGGAGGGGGGACUGGAAUUCACGGUGUAGCA
rnacentral:rRNA from 1 species